rnacentral:rRNA from 1 species
UACGGGGGGGUAAGCGUUGUUCGGAAUUACUGGGCGUAAAGGGCUCGUAGGCGGCCAACUAAGUCAGACGUGAAAUCCCUCAGCUUAACUGGGGAACUGCGUCUGAUACUGGAUGGCUUGGAUUUGGGAGAGGAAUGCGGAAUUCCAGGUGUAGCGGUGAAAUGCGUAGAUAUCUGGAGGAACACCGGUGGCGAAGGCGGCAUUCUGGACCAAUUCUGACGCUGAGGAGCGAAAGCCAGGGGAGCAAACGGG